UUUCUGAUUAGCUAGUUGGUGGGGUAAAGGCCUACCAAGGCGACGAUCAGUAGCGGGUUUGAGAGGAUGAUCCGCCACACUGGGACUGAGACACGGCCCAGAUUCCUACGGGAGGCAGCAGUGGGGAAUUUUGGACAAUGGGGGGAACCCUGAUCCAGCCAUGCCGCGUGUCUGAAGAAGGCCUUCGGGUUGUAAAGGACUUUUGUCAGGGAAGAAAAGCUUGAGGUUAAUACCCUUGAGUGAUGACGGUACCUGAAGAAUAAGCACCGGCUAACUACGUGCCAGCAGCCGCGGUAAUACGUAGGGUGCGAGCGUUAAUCGGAAUUACUGGGCGUAAAGCGGGCGCAGACGGUUACUUAAGUCAGAUGUGAAAUCCCCGGGCUCAACCUGGGAACUGCGUUUGAAACUGGGUGACUAGAGUAUGUCAGAGGGGGGUAGAAUUCCACGUGUAGCAGUGAAAUGCGUAGAGAUGUGGAGGAAUACCGAUGGCGAAGGCAGCCCCCUGGGAUAAUACUGACGUUCAUGCCCGAAAGCGUGGGUAGCAAACAGGAUUAGAUACCCUGGUAGUCCACGCCCUAAACGAUGUCAAUUAGCUGUUGGGGCACUUGAUGCCUUAGUAGCGUAGCUAACGCGUGAAAUUGACCGCCUGGGGAGUACGGUCGCAAGAUUAAAACUCAAAGGAAUUGACGGGGACCCGCACAAGCGGUGGAUGAUGUGGAUUAAUUCGAUGCAACGCGAAGAACCUUACCUGGUCUUGACAUGUACGGAAUCCUCCAGAGACGGAGGAGUGCCUUCGGGAACCGUAACACAGGUGCUGCAUGGCUGUCGUCAGCUCGUGUCGUGAGAUGUUGGGUUAAGUCCCGCAACGAGCGCAACCCUUGUCAUUAGUUGCCAUCAUUAAGUUGGGCACUCUAAUGAGACUGCCGGUGACAAGCCGGAGGAAGGUGGGGAUGACGUCAAGUCCUCAUGGCCCUUAUGACCAGGGCUUCACACGUCAUACAAUGGUCGGUACAGAGGGUAGCCAAGCCGCGAGGUGGAGCCAAUCCCAGAAAACCGAUCGUAGUCCGGAUUGCACUCUGCAACUCGAGUGCAUGAAGUCGGAAUCGCUAGUAAUCGCAGGUCAGCAUACUGCGGUGAAUACGUUCCCGGGUCUUGUACACACCGCCCGUCACACCAUGGGAGUGGGGGAUACCAGAAGUAGGUAGGGUAACCGUAAGGAGCCCGCUAC
rnacentral:rRNA from 1 species